CCGAUGGCGACCGGCGCACGGGUGAGUAACACGUAUCCAACCUGCCGAUGACUCGGGGAUAGCCUUUCGAAAGAAAGAUUAAUACCCGAUGGCAUAGUUCUUCCGCAUGGUGGAACUAUUAAAGAAUUUCGGUCAUCGAUGGGGAUGCGUUCCAUUAGGUUGUUGGCGGGUAACGGCCCACCAAGCCUUCGAUGGAUAGGGGUUCUGAGAGGAAGGUCCCCCACAUUGGAACUGAGACACGGUCCAA
rnacentral:rRNA from 1 species